rnacentral:ncRNA from 1 species
GAUAAAAUGGUGAGAGAAAUAAGUAGAUUAUAGACCACUCUAAAGAGAGGAAUUCCCUUUGGCUGAAAGGAGUUCUAGGUGAAGGAUAAUUGAAAGCUAAUUCUUGAAUGCAGCUAAUCACUGCCGUUUUCCGCGUUAAGGAAUAUUGAGAGAUGGAUAUUAUUUUUUAUUAUUUUUAUAUAUUUUUAUCCAUAAUCAGGGUGGUACCGCGAGCAAUACUUUCGUCCCUGUC